CGUCACUUUGACAACACAAACAAAAAAAAAAAUCCGGAGCCUGCAUGAUUACAUCCACCGUUGAAACACAACUUAUGGAGGAACAGAAUGUUAUACAAAUAUUUCAAAGGCUACGGAAGUGAAAUGAAAUUGGAUAUCUAUCUGUCGACGCAAUUAGUUUUUCGAGCCUAUCGAUUAUAAGUUCCGAAAAGCCAAUACAUGCAACAUAUGCUGUAAAAGAUCUUUGACCUAAAAGAUAUACCUACAGCCAAUUGUAAUUGUCGAUGAUGAAGUCGUAUGUUUUGAAAAAAGUAGUGAUGAUGAUACCGCAAAAUCAAAGUUGGAAGAAGCGAUUGACACUAAACAUGAUUCUAGCCUGGAGGAAGCACCAGAGGAGAAGAAUAUUAUCGUGAUCAGAUUACUAGCGGGCGCUCCCUUUUUCAUUGUAACGUAUGUAAAUUGACAUUCGAGACGACAGCAAAUCUCAUGGAAACAUUCACAUACCCGAGUAAAAAGUUCAUUGUCGACACGUCCAUGGCAAGGCU